UACGAACCGUGCGAACGUUGUUCGGAAUCACUGGGCAUAAAGGGCGCGUAGGCGGCUUAUCAAGUCAGGGGUGAAAUCCGGCAGCUCAACUGUCGAAGUGCCUUUGAUACUGAUGAGCUCGAGGGAGGUAGGGGUCUGUGGAACUUCCGGUGGAGCGGUGAAAUGCGUUGAUAUCGGAAGGAACGCCGGUGGCGAAAGCGACGGACUGGACCUCUUCUGACGCUGAGGCGCGAAAGCUAGGGGAGCAAACGGG
rnacentral:rRNA from 1 species